UUUGUACAAUAUUAAUAUUU
rnacentral:miRNA from 1 species